GUGUGUGUGUGUGUGUGUGUGUGCGCGUGCGUGUAUAUUGUGUGUGUGUGUGCGUGCGUAUGUGUGUGUGUGCGUGUGUGUGUGUAUGUGUGCGUGUGUGUGUGCGAACCCCCCCGUGGAUCGUAAGUGUAGACUCGCUGUGUCCAUACUCGCCUGUGGCUCUGUGUCCAGUCCCCACCCCUGUGAAGGCUCGGGAAGGCUGCUGAUGGACAGCCCGCCGUGUCCUCCGUUUCAGGCUGUGCCGGGCCUCCCUGUAAUAAAGACCUGUUUCUUCCUGGCCGCACACUUGGCCUGGAGACUGAGGGCUCGCUGAGCAAUUCUGAGCCCCCGCGUGCCCGCCCUGGACACGCCUGGGCCUUCUGUUGGCCCACAGCGGCCUGUGGGACGCUCACAAUGCGGCCCUGUUCCUCCCUCGGCUCAGCCGCCCGCCCCUCCGGCCUCUCUGGGAGGAGGCUGUGCGAGCCGGGGGAGGCUGCCUUCACCGGUUUCCAGGAAGACGCGCGCGCCGUGUGUGGCUGGAGACGGGGCCCCUCCCCGGUGGCAGCCCCUUGGAAUUAGGGGGUGAUCUGUCAAGGGCAAAACACGUGCUCCUCAGGCAGGGCCGCCAGUCAGCCCGCUCAAGGCAGGCUUCCCUCUGAGCCUGGCACACGCUGAGCCCGCUCGGACGCUGGGCCUUGGCAUGGGCUGGUCCUCUGGCCUUCGCGGGGCUGCCUCUCGGUCGCCGGCCAGCCUGCGCUUAAGCGGUGCCUCCUUGGGUUGGGAUCUGCCGCCACUGACCGCUGUCUGUCUCGCGGCCCUGUUGGAUUGGCCCCAUGUAUUUAGCAUCUGUGUUGUCCCUCGAGAGGGCGAGCUUCACAGAUCAAAGAGCUGUCUUGUUCAUGCCCGUCCCCCAAGCGCAGCACAGUGGCUGGCUCGAGAAGGCCACAGUCGAAUCUAAAAUAUGACACAAAUGAACCUAUCUACGAAACAGAAACAGACUCCCAGACACAGAGAAGAGUCUUGUGGUUGCCAAGGCGGAGGGGUUGGGGGAGGGAUGGAGUGGGAGUUUGGAUGAGCAGAUGCAAACGAUUGUAUAGAGAAUGGGUCAACGGCAAGGGCCUACUGUAGAGCCCAGGGAACUGUAUUUAAUAUCCUGGGAUAAACCAUACUGGAAAAGAAUAUGAAAAAGAUGAUAUAUAUUUGUAUAACUGAAUCACUUUGUUGUAUAGCAGAAAUUAACACAUCGUACAUCAACUAUACUUCACUAAAAUUAAAUUUUAAAAAAGGCCGCAGUCAAGAUUUACUAGAUGAACGAAUGAAUAAACCAACCACCCUAUUGAGAAAUCAACCUAUGAGUCAGCGAGGCCGGGAUUCAAUGGAUCAAUUACUGCGUUAACGAGAUCAGGGCACACAGGCAGGAAUCCUUGCCUGAUACGUCCGUCUAUAAUCAUCUAAUCUUCCCCACUUCACCUCUAAGCCCUUCCAGGGCAAUGGAGGGGCCAGGGGAUACGCACAGCGAGAGAAGGAGACAGGCAGGAAAAGAGGCCGGUGCUUCCCCGGAGGAGCGGGGACUGGGAAUGGGGCUCUUAAGGGAGGGCUGGUCAGGGAAGGCUCCCUGGGGGAGGUGAGACAAUCCCUGGGUGGAAUCCCAGGAGAGGUACUGCCGUUCAGCAGGGGUGGGAGCUGUGUGGAGCUAGCCUUGGGCUCAGCAGGGUUGGUGCAAGAAUGAGGCCUGGGUUUGCUCUGCACGGUCUCAAGAAAACCAGGGUCAGUGGUGGAAGCCCAGGAGGACCCAUUUCAUUUCAACACAGGGGGACGUGUCCCAGGACAGAGCCGUGCAAAGAUGGAAUGAACUGCCAGAGGAAGGAAUGAGCUCUCUGUCCCUGGAGAUACGUAAAGCUACAUAAGGAGAGGAGUGAGGGGUUAGCCUAGACUGGAAAGCUGCAAAAUCUGUUCUAAUCCAGAGAAUCUACAGAUCUAUAAUAGAAAGCUGUCUAAUACAGGCAGAGGAGGUAUUUAUCAGGUAAUAACCAUAUACUACUAAUAUAAAUAUGCAUACAGAUGAUCAUUACAGUUUUUUUUUUUCAUAAUGGAAAACAUCCUGUCUCCUAAAUUCUACCUUUUGAAAGUUAUCUUUAUGCAGUCAGCAUGUGUGUAUUCAGUCCCUUGGCUGUAAGAAUGCUCAAUGCAGUAUUGUUUGCAACAGAGGAAAAAUUGGAGACAGCCUGAAAGUUCAUUUAUAUGUUUAUUUUCUGUCUCCCUCUAGAUUGAGCUCCAAGAGGGUGGGCCCUUGUCUGUCUCAUUCACUGCUCUAUCUGCCAUAUCUAGGCCAGAGGAAUUAGCUUCCACGCGGGGCUGCUCAGAAGGAUGGCGGCCACCCGCUAGAAGUCACCAUCACCAUUUAUCAUCUGGGAAGAUGCUGCAGCCCUAACCCCCUGUACCACAGAAUGUGACUCUAUUUGGAGAUGGACCUUUAAAGAGGUGAUCAAGUUAAAAUGAGGUCACGAGGGUGGGCCCUAAGCCAAUAGGAUUGGUGUCCUCAUAAGAAGAGGAGAUUAGGACCCAGACACACAGACAGAGAAAGUGAUAUGGAGACACAGGGAGAAGAGAGCCAUCUGCAAGCCGAGGAGAGAGGCUGCAGAAGAACAGCCCUGCCUUCACCUUGAUCUUGGACUUUCAGCCUCCAAAACUCUUCCGUCCGGCCACUCCUAGCAUCCACCGUCCCAAGCACCUCUCCAAACCACCUGCUACUUUCUUGACAUCAAAUCCAAGAAAGAAGCCCUCCUCUUGGCUUAAACCUGAAGUGCUAGUGACCAGAAGGGACCUCAGAAAGGACCGCACGUCUCUCUCACCUCCAAUGAGCUCCUCGUUUGCCCCGACCUGGGGACCGAGGGCCCCUGUCUGGUGUCCCUGCUGUUGAAGAGAUGGCUUCCCAGGGAGCUGGCACCCCAUAUUGGAGGGAGGCUGAGGCAGCCACCCGGCUCUGAUGAGCCCUGCUCAGAUCCCAGGGCUGGUCCCCCUGCCAGGGUGACAGAGCCAUUCCCGCAGCUGGGGGCAGGCAGAGUCCUCCAGGGGAAGCUGGAACCAGGCCCGUCAAGGAGAGGCAGGCAAAGGAGCCCACUAGCUCUCUCCGGGUUCUCACUCUUCUUUCAAAGCCUCCAGCCCAUUGCCCGGGGCGGCAAGGUGCACUCAGCCUGCUGGAAAAGUCCAGGCUUCCUUCUUGCCAGCUGCCUCCUUCUUGGAGAAGCCUCCGUGACUGGAAAAGCCAGGGCGCUCAGAGCCAGGUGGGACCUGAAGAUCAAACCGACCAAGGCCUUUCCCUGUUUUUACACCAAGUUGUUUGGGAACUUUUGGUCGUUGAGUUGUAAUAGUUCUUUAUAUAGUCUGGAUUUUAAUUUCUUAUCAGAUGUAUGAUCUGCAAAUAUUUUCUUCCAUUCCAUGCGUUGUCUUUUCACUCUGUUGAUGGUGUCGUUUCAUGCAUAAAAGUUUUCAAUCUUGAUAAAGUCCAAUGUACCUAUUUUUGCUUUUGUUGUCUGUGCUUUUGGUGUCACAUCCAAGAAACCAUUGCCAAAUCCAGUGUCAUAAAGCUUUCCCCCAAUGUUCUCUUCUAAGCGUUUUAUACUUUUAGGCCUAUGUUUAGAUCCAUUUUGAGUUAAUUUUUGUAUAUGGUGUUAAAUAAUGGUCCGACUUUUUCGUUUGUAUGUGGAUAUUCAGUUUUCCCAACACCGUUUGUUAAAAAGACUGUCCUUUCCCCACUGGAUGCUCUUGACACUCUUAUUGAAAAUCAUUUGCCCAUGUAUUCGAGGUUUUAUUUCUCGGCUCUCUAUUCUAUUCCAUUGGUCUACAUGUCUGUCUUUAAGCCAUUACCACUCUGUUUUGAUAACUGGAGUUUUAUACUAAGUUUUGAAAUCAGGAAGUGUGAGACUUCUAACAUUGUUCUUUUUCAAGAUUGUUUUCACUAUUCAGGGUCUGUGAGAUUCUAUAUGAAUUUUAGGAUGGAUUU